rnacentral:lncRNA from 1 species
GUUUUCAAAAUAAUUAUAUAUGGAUAAGACUUCUUUGAAGGCAACAUUCUUGGUGGCUUUCCUAAUCAUUUCUUCAUGAGAGUAUUAGCCUUUAAAUUGAGUAAAAUGGAGAUUGGCAUUUUGGUUUUUUAAUUGUUCAUGUUUUAUUUUCACUAGUUAAUGCAAGAAAGCAGCAGUGGGUUAUGUUCUAAAGAUUACUAGAUUAUUCAUUGACUUGCAAAUUCAACUAACUCUUUGUAUACAGGUGUCGUAUUAACAAU